CUAUCACGAGGAUAGUCGGAGAACUUUUCCAGGUAUUUCUUCGUUAUCCCCUGGGAUACUUAUUGUAUAACGUAGUAUUUGUCCUGGAGACGCUUGAAACUGAGGAAAACCAAGGACCACGUGAUGGUGCAUAAAACUUUAGCAUCUAAGAGUCGUGGUUUCUUUGAACCUACACCAUCUGAAACUAUACUGGCGCUUAAGUUAAGAAUACGGAGGGAUUCAACGUAAUCUAAAUUGUUUUAGUUCAUAUUAGUUUAUCAAUUUGAAUAUAUGAACUUAUAUUCCCGUGGUGUUUCUAAAAACAACGUAUUAUUCUUAUUCUUCUG